UUGAAGAAUUAAUGUCCGAAAUCGUUCAGGAAAUUGUUCAGAAAUAUUUAAUGGAAUCUUCCGAUUACUUGAUAAAAAAUAAUGAUGGUCAAGAAAAACGCAAGACGGACGAAAUAAAUAUAAACAAAACAUUAACCGAGUUAAUGGAUAUACAGCAAAAUAAUGAUUUUAUUCCUUCUGCUCCACCACUUCCCCAAACUCUACCAACUCUACAAAAAACAGAAAAUAAUAUUAAAAACAAAGGUAAGGUUUAUAGACCAGCAGGUCUACCAAAAAAUCUUAUAGAGGAAAUCAAACGCGGCGUGAAAUUGAAGAUAUCAUUCCUUCACCACCUCCUCAUACUCUACUAAUGCCACUAAAAUCAGAAAACAAUGUAAAAAGCAAAGGUAAGGUUUAUAGAACAGCAGCUCUACCAAAAAAUUUUAUAGAGGAAAUCAAACGCGGCGUAAAAUUGAAGCCGGUGAAGCCAGUAGUUUCAGUAAUAGAAAAUCCAAAAAUAAACGAAAAUGAUUUUGAAAGAAUGAACCCAUUAGGUAUUCCAAUGUUUCGUCGGGCAAGUAUGAUGUCGAGCAGUUCUAGCUCCGAUACGUCAUCGGAAUACUUUUCUCUAGAUGAAUGGGAUAACUAAAUAAAAAUUAAUCGAAAAGUAAAGCUUGAAUAAACAAUGGCAAGUGGUAAUUAAUAAGUCAACCGCUCCUGAGCAUAGUUAGUGUGUAAUCGAAGAGUGAUCAAGAUGAGAUGAGGUUACCGGUUUGUCUAAAACGAACAGACAACCGGAUCAUACCUUGACUUUGUACUUUCUAUGUUUUUAAAACCAAUUGCUAACAGUAAUGUUGGAGGUUUUUGAGAGAAAUUUUUUAAUUAAAAACUUAAUAUUAUUAUCCAAGCUAAUAUUUUCGAAUUAUUUUU